rnacentral:rRNA from 1 species
CGUUGUUAUAACAAAACAUUUUAUUAUUAUAUUUAAUUAUUAUAUUAUAAAAAUAUUAAAUUAAAAAAUUAGUAUAAAUAUUAUAAAAUUUUUAUAUUUAAUAAAAUUAAAUAAUAAAAAAUAAAAAAAAUUUAUUCAUUAAAUUAUUAGACUGUUUAACAAAAUCUUAUUUAUAAUUUUUAUAAUCUAUUCUGCUCAAUGAAAUUAUUUAAAUAGCUGUUAAUAACACUAAGGUAGCGAAAUCAUUAGCUACUUAAUUGGUAACUUGUAUGAAGGGACUAACUAAAAAUUUAUUUUAUAAAAAAUAUAAAUUAUAAAAUUGUUGAAAAUAACAAUAUUUAUUCCAAGAACAAAAAGACCCUAGAAUAC